rnacentral:tRNA from 3 species
GCCAAUGUAGCUCAGUUGGUAGAGCAACGGUUUCGUAAACCGUAGGUCACGAGUUCGAAUCUCGUCAUUGGCUCCA